rnacentral:rRNA from 1 species
UACGAAGGAUGCAAGCGUUAUCCGGAAUUAUUGGGUUUAAAGGGUGCGUAGGCGGACCUAUAAGUCAGUGGUGAAAGCCCCAAGCUCAACUUGGGAACUGCCAUUGAUACUGUUGGUCUUGAGUACAGUUGAGGUAGGCGGAAUGUGUCAUGUAGCGGUGAAAUGCUUAGAUAUGACACAGAACACCGAUUGCGAAGGCAGCUUGCUAAGCUGUAACUGACGCUGAUGCACGAAAGCGUGGUAGCAA